CUCGAGUAGGGCCCAAGCAAGCCAGGAAGGAGGAGGCAGCCAGAGUGUUCUCUGCAGCAGAAGACCCCUUGCUGCCCUGCUUAACCCAGACCAGCAUUUGCCAGGCCUGUUGAUAACAUCAAACAUCAAAAGCAGAGAGCAAACGAGAUUUAUGACUUCUUUCACCAGCUGCAGAAGAGGUUUGAUCUGUGGAACAUCAUUAUCAGAUUAUAUGCUGCAACCUGCAAAUGUUUGUAUUUUUUCUUGAGGAGCAGGAGAUGAGAGAGAAACUCCAAUGGUGACUACCCCUG